rnacentral:lncRNA from 1 species
CAAACAAAGUAACAAACAAAGACGUCAACAAAAACACUCACAUGGUUGUUCUCCUCCGAGCCACCAGGUGUCACUGCAGCCAGGUUGUUCUCCUCCGAGCCACCAGGUAUCACUGCAGCCUGGUUGUUCUCCUCCGAGCCACCAGGUGUCACUGCAGCCUGGUUGUUCUCCUCCGAGCCACCAGGUGUCACUGCAGCCUGGUUGUUCUCCUCCGAGCCACCUGGUGUCACUGCAGCCAGGUUGUUCUCCUCCGAGCCACCAGGUGUCACUGCAACCUGGUUGUUCUCCUCCGAGCUACCAGGUGUCACUGCAGCCUGGUUGUUCUCCUCCGAGCCACCAGUUGUCACUGCAGCCUGGUUGUUCCCCUCCCUUCCAGGACUUGGCUUUGUGGGGGGAGGCAUGGUGGACUCUACUCUGUCAGCCGGGGCCAGACUGAGUGCCCGGGGGUUGUCCACAGUCCCAGCCCCUGCCCCAUCUUCAGCCCCCCUCUCUCUCUGGGUAGGUGAGCUCUGAACCUCUCCGUGGUGCUCCCUCUCUGUCCCAACCUCCAGAGGGAUAGAGGUAGGGGUGGUGGUGGAGGAUGGUGUAGGGGCCCUAGGGGGGCUCUCCUCUGGCUCAUUAGACCCACAGCCCCCCCUGUCCCCCUCCUGGUUCUUCUCCACAACCCCCUCUGUGUCUAGCUCUUCUUCCCCCAACACCACAGGCUGCUCACUGCCCAGUGCGUCCACCUCCAGGCCGGUCCGGAGACCCUCUCCUGUGACCUGCUCUGGCCCAGAAUAAGCCACUUCGCUGGGGCCUGCAUGGCUUGCCUCUCCCCCUGACUGAAGCUGCUCCUCAUCUAACUUCUCCUCCUCUUCUUUCUCUUUCUUCGUCUGCUCAGUGGUACUCCCCAGAGGAGCGGAUGGAGGGAUGGAUGAAAAGAGGGACGGAUCAGAGGAUAAUGUUGCUGCAGUUCCCUCUACAGCCACCAGGUUGGCAUCACCACCACCACUAUCACCACUCUGCUCGAUGUCCUCCUCUCUCUCUUUCUCCACUUUCUCCUCCUCCGCUUUCCUCACCAGCACCAUCUCUUCUCCCUCCCUCCCUCCUUCCGUCACACUCUUUCUUUCCUUCUGCCGCUCCUCCUCUAUUCCUCUCCUCCUCUCCCUCUCUCUCUCUCCCAGACCACACAUCCCCAUUCUCCUUCUCCUCUUCUUCACUGGUGCUUCCACAGAUCUGUCCUCCUCCACUGGAGGCCCCUCCCUCCCACCACCCAGACAAACACCUCUGUCAUCUAUAGCCUCCUGCUGUUCACUGUCGAGCUCCUCCAUUUUGGGCUUCGGGUUCUUCUCUCCACACUGCUCCUCUUCAUUGUCGGUUUGACUGUCCCCGUCCCCAACGUUGACCUCCUUGGAGGGAAGCAGGGAGGGCUGAGGGCGUUCUCCCACACCCACUGCUACAGUCAGUGGGUGUGGGGGGAAGCUGAGGAAACUCUGUGUCUUGAUGUCUUCUUCUUCUUUACCCUCGUCAUCUUUAACGGAGGACUCCACACUAUGGUCUUCCUGUGGACUAUCUCCACCAUCCUGAUUGGUUGGAACUGAUUCCUCUGUGCCCUCCCUCUCCACAGCCCCUCCAAUGGCCUGUUCUCCCUCGAAGCCAGUCACAACCGCACUUUCCUCCACUGGAUCACCCUCUUGCUUGGGUGCAGUGGUAUCUCUCGCUUUGUUAGCCUGCUCAGAUGGAUGGGUAGUACAGGCCGUCAGAGGGUGGUGGGGAUCUUUAGGAGAAGAGGAGGUGUUUAACACUCUUCCCUCAGUGUCCUGCU